GCGUCAAUAAAGAAUAUAACAGGCAUAAGUUAUAAUUAAUGACAGUUAAACAAGUUUCCGUGUUCAACAACAUUUUGCCCUGUAUGGCUGUCUCACCCUCCAGAUGUUUCCUGUCGACUUAUUCAUGGCAUGCUUGUCUUUAACACCUUCUGCAUCAAUAGUUGCUAACCAAGCAUAAAGCAAAAUAUGUUUCACCUUUACCCUAGAAAUAAAUCUAUGUGAUGUCUGUGUGUGUAAACAUGAUAUAAAAAUGAUACAAUUCGCACAGUGUGCAUAUUAUUAGUAAGGUAAAAGUAAUAGAAACUCUAAAUUGAAAUUAAGAUAUUUCCUUAGUGUUAUUUACAAAUAUUAAUUUAUGUUUUCCAGCUUAUAUUUACAUACUACAGAUUUUAUUCCCAGCUUUUUAAAAAUCUUAUUGUGUUAAUAUUGUGUCUUAAACGUGAACAUUUCUUCCGUCUGCUCUUUCUUCAUGUAACAUUUCAGGGUAAGACAGAUGAAAUCAUCAAACUGCUCCAGCAGGACAAAGAAACAGCAGAGAAGCUGAAGUAGCUUCAGGUUUGUCUUUCUGUUAUAAACAUUCUGAAUUUACUGACUUUACUGAACUCUAUUUAUGAAUAGAAUAAUUACAUACAUCAAUAUUUACUCACCGUCAGACUCUUCAAUAUAAAUGAAUAAAUUUAUAUUAAAUUUAAAUUAUCUGGACGCAGCGUUUUACAUAAUUCAUUAAAUCAGCAGCACUGAUAAACAAUAUUUACAUAAUACAGCUUUUAUUUGACUCUGUUUGUGUUAUCAUUAUUGUCUUAAACAGGAUUGUUUCUUUCUUCUGCUCUUUCCUCAUGUAACAUUUCAGCUCCAGGGUGAGACAGAUAGUGAAAUCAUCAAACAGCUCCAGGAGGUGAAAGACAAAGCAGCUUCUGAAGAAGCAGCUGGAGUCCAAAAAUUGGGAGAUGCUCCAGGCUGAGAAGACGAGGAAUGAUGAAACUGACAGAAAACUCAAAGAGUUGGUAAAGCAGCUCCAGUAUGAGAAGAAGAAAACUGAG